GUUCAAUAUCUCUAUCAAAAUAAUUAAAAUCAUUAGCUUAGAGAAAAUAAAAAAGCGCCAUGAGGAAGAGUAUUCGAAUAGUACCAAUUACUAUACCGGAGGAAGAAGAACUGCAAGAGCCAGUACCACCACUGGCUAUUGAACAACCUCCACCGCAGCAACAAUCAUUAAUCAACGGCUUAGAUAAAUUCUUAGUGAUCAUAAUCGUAACUCCAAUUGUCGUUAUGUUGGUAGGAAUAUUCCCUUUUCUUUGCUCUUUAUUUCUCAUAUAUUGAUUAAUCUUUUUCUUUAUUUAUCUUCUUGUGACCGUCUUAUUGAAAUUUGGACUUGAAAAUUGCAUAUUUGAACUUUUAUUAUAUAAUUUAAAAUACCAAAGUUAUAUCGACAUUCAAUUCGGAUCGAACGAUAUUUAAAUGCAUGAACGCGGAUACCGAACUUUGUUUUGGCAUUUAGUGUUUCUUGUAUAUAUAUACUAUGAAAAAUGUGAUGAUUAAUUAUUAUUUCAGGUAUUUGGUAUUAUCUAUGGUAUACUGCAUUAUAUGCGACAACAUCGACACUGACUUAAACAAGUUAUGGCAGCAAACCCAUUAUUACCAGAAUAUUCAUUGAGGCCAUUAAUGUUAUGUAAUUUUUUUAUUGUUUUUUUUUGGGGACAAGUUAGUAAUUAGUUACCUUUUCUCUCAACUAUUUCAGCGAUUCUUGUUUGUCACUCUCCAAUGAAUUAUUAGUCAUGUGAGUCAUUGUUGGGAGCAUUAUUACUAUCAUUGUUAAGAUAACGAUGUAAAUUUGUUCUUGGUUGAUAUUGGUAUAUUACGUUCUCAAACUAGCCUAUAUAUUCUCUGUUCAUAUACUCUAAAUAAUUUUUGUACAGUU
rnacentral:lncRNA from 1 species